rnacentral:misc_RNA from 1 species
UCACCUCUCAAGCCUGGCUUGCUGUUGGAUUUAGGUAUUGCCUAGGCAUAACCAGUCCCAAAGAUAAUGACGGCGUCUGCGAAGACCCUAGUACACUGAGCUAUGUAAUUAGCACGUAUUAGAGGGAGUCCAGGCCCGGUCUUUACUUAUAUUUUCUUAA